rnacentral:tRNA from 1 species
GUGUAGCUCAACUGGUAGAGCAACUGACUUGUAAUCAGUAGGUUGGGGGUUCAAGUCCUCUUGAACACU